GCACUCGCUUCGGCAGCACAUACACUAAAACUGGAACAAUACAGAGAUUGGCAUGGCCCUGUGCAAGGAUGACAUGCAAAUUCGUGAAGUGUUUCAUAUUUAA